rnacentral:rRNA from 1 species
UAAGCGGAGGAAAAGAAACUAACAAGGAUUCCCCUAGUAACUGCGAGUGAAGCGGGAAAAGCUCAAAUUUAAAAUCUGGCGGCCUCUGGCCGCCCGAGUUGUAAUUUAGAGAAGCGUCUUCCGCGCCGGACCGUGCACAAGUCUCCUGGAAUGGAGCGUCAUAGAGGGUGAGAAUCCCGUCUUUGGCAUGGAUGCCCGGUGCUUCUGUGAUGCGCUCUCGAAGAGUCGAGUUGUUUGGGAAUGCAGCUCAAAAUGGGUGGUGAACUCCAUCUAAAGCUAAAUAUUGGCGAGAGACCGAUAGCGAACAAGUACUGUGAGGGAAAGAUGAAAAGCACUUUGGAAAGAGAGUGAAACAGUACGUGAAAUUGUUGAAAGGGAAACGCUUGAAGUCAGUCGCGUCGACCGAGACUCAGCCUUGCCUGGGCUUGGUGUACUUCUCGGCCUGACGGGUCAGCGUCAAUUUUGCCCCUCGGAUAAUGGCAAGGGAAAGGUGGCACCUUUACGGGUGUGUUAUAGUCUCCUGUCGCAUGCGAGGGGUGGGAUUGAGGAACUCAGCGCGCACCAAGGCGGUGUCGGGGCUUCUGCCCACGUAACGCGCUUAGGAUGCUGGCGUAAUGGCUUUAAACGACC